UCCUUGUUCUGGACACUAAAUGGAGCCUUUUGGUCUGAAUAUUCAUGCCUUCUAUUCUGGAAACUAUUCCUGAAGUUUAUUUCUUUGACGAUUUCCUCUACCAUGUGGUUUGUUUCCUCUUUGAAGUUAUUGACUUCUGAUGGCUCUGCGAUGCUCACAUCGUCAUACCCAUCUCCCGGAUAAAGAAACGCUGGCUGCAAUGGCGCACGUAGCUCAGGACAAUACCUGGUCAGGAGCAAAGGGGUCCAGACUGGGUCUCAGUGCUCUGUCCACCAUGGUGUACACUGGACACUCAGGCGGUUUUCCUGGGUGACAAGGCUUCCUCAAGGCCACCUGCAGUUUCCAUGGAAUCAGAGGACUGAAGUGUCAAUGAACCUCCCUUGAUGUUCCCUUAAGACUCUAGGACCCUGCUGGGAGCCUUCCCCUGGCCCCCUUAUCCAGGGAGGAAACAUGAAGAAUACUUGCUAAGAAGGACUGUCUCUGGGACUUUUAUCUCCUGAUUUCAAACACAGUGGUUCUGCUAAGCUGCACUUUUUUUUUGUCGUGAAAAUGAUUU